UUGCUGAAUAUACAAAUUGAUGUCAAACUUUUGACAUAGCAAAAUAAAUAAUUUGUUUAAUUGGACUAGUAAUAACUACACAAAGUUUUUGAUCAUUUCUCUCACUUCUUCAAUUACAAGCCACGCCUUGUGCCCUCCAAUCACCUCAGCUUUCAUUUCUCCAUAUUUCCACAACUGAAUUGUUGGCAUUUUUGAGAUGUUUCCUCUCUUCACUAAAGUUUGUGGCACUUUAUUGACAUCCACAUAGUAGAAUUUGACUUUGGUAUCAAACUCAGCAGCAAGUUUCUCCAAUUUAGGCUUCAAAUAUAUGCAUUUCCGGCACCAAGCUGCCAUCCAAUCAAUGAUGACAGGUUGUGAAAGCUCUUUAGCAGAGUCUAAAAUCUGAUCAAGUUGUUCACUACUCUCAAUUGGUUGCAUCUCAACAGCAGCUGGUCUUGACAAAUCUGGCCAAGAGGCAUGAAUUCUUAACUCCCUUUUCAUUUUCUUCUUCCAAUCACCUCUUCUUUUAUCAACAAAACAAAAUCCAUAUGAUUUUACAAUAUUAACAUUCCCUCCACUGUUCAAAAACAGAUGCUGAUUCUCCCUAUUGUAGAUUUCUCUGUACAAAAUUUGGGAAUUUGGUGCUAAAAUAGACAUUUUUUAGAAGUUUUUGGUACUUGAAAAGAGGUGACUGUAUAAAAAAGGAUUAGAUAUUUGGGUGUGUGAGG
rnacentral:misc_RNA from 1 species